AUAGGUGACUGCACCACCCUGCCCCUCUCACUACCCUUAUCUACCCUGCCUGAGAUCCAAACAAUAGGUGACCGCACCACCCUGCCCCUCUCACUACCCUUAUCUACCCUGCCUGAGAUCCAAACAAUAGGUGACUGCACCACCCUGCCCCUCUCACUACCCUUAUCUACCCUGCCUGAGAUCCAAACAAUAGGUGACUGCACCACCCUGCCCCUCUCACUACCCUUAUCUACCCUGCCUGAGAUCCAAACAAUAGGUGACUGCACCACCCUGCCCCUCUCACUACCCUUAUCUACCCUGCCUGAGAUCCAAACAAUAGGUGACUGCACCACCCUGCCCCUCUCACUACCCUUAUCUACCCUGCCUGAGAUCCAAACAAUAGGUGACUGCACCACCCUGCCCCUCUCACUACCCUUAUCUACCCUGCCUGAGAUCCAAACAAUAGGUGACUGCACCACCCUGCCCCUCUCACUACCCUUAUCUACCCUGCCUGAGAUCCAAACAAUAGGUGACUGCACCACCCUGCCCCUCUCACUACCCUUAUCUACCCUGCCUGAGAUCCAAACAAUAGGUGACUGCACCACCCUGCCCCUCUCACUACCCUUAUCUACCCUGUCUGAGAUCCAAACAAUAGGUGACUGCACCACCCUGCCCCUCUCACUACCCUUAUCUACCCUGCCUGAGAUCCAAACAAUAGGUGACUGCACCACCCUGCCCCUCUCACUACCCUUAUCUACCCUGUCUGAGAUCCAAACAAUAGGUGACUGCACCACCCUGCCCCUCUCACUACCCUUAUCUACCCUGUCUGGCCUUGAUCAAACACACAGCCUCCUAUGCUCCUUAUUUUCUCUCCCCCCAACACACACUCUCCU